rnacentral:rRNA from 1 species
UACGUAGGGUCCGAGCGUUGUCCGGAAUUAUUUGGGCGUAAAGGGCUCGUAGGCGGUCUGUCGCGUCGGGAGUGAAAACUCGGAAGCUUGAACUCCGAGCCUGCUUCCGAUACGGGCAGACUAGAGGUAGGCAGGGGAGACUGGAAUUCCUGGUGUAGCGGUGAAAUGCGCAGAUAUCAGGAGGAACACCGGUGGCGAAGGCGGGUCUCUGGGCCGAUAUCGACGCUGAGGAGCGGAAGCGUGGGGGAGCGAACAGG